rnacentral:rRNA from 1 species
CGAGCGGUAACAGAUCCAGCUUGCUGGAUGCUGACGAGCGGCGGACGGGUGAGUAACGCAUAGGAAUCUACCCGGUAGUGGGGGAUAACCUGGGGAAACCCAGGCUAAUACCGCAUACGUCCUACGGGAGAAAGGGGGCUUUGGCUCCCGCUAUCGGAUGAGCCUAUGCCGGAUUAGCUGGUUGGUGAGGUAAUGGCUCACCAAGGCGACGAUCCGUAGCUGGUCUGAGAGGAUGAUCAGCCACAUCGGGACUGAGACACGGCCCGAACUCCUACGGGAGGCAGCAGUGGGGAAUAUUGGACAAUGGGCGCAAGCCUGAUCCAGCCAUGCCGCGUGUGUGAAGAAGGCCCUCGGGUUGUAAAGCACUUUCAGCGAGGAAGAACGCCUGGCGGUUAAUACCCGCCAGGAAAGACAUCACUCGCAGAAGAAGCACCGGCUAACUCCGUGCCAGCAGCCGCGGUAAUACGGAGGGUGCAAGCGUUAAUCGGAAUUACUGGGCGUAAAGCGCGCGUAGGUGGCUUGAUAAGCCGGUUGUGAAAGCCCCGGGCUCAACCUGGGAACGGCAUCCGGAACUGUCAGGCUAGAGUGCAGGAGAGGAAGGUAGAAUUCCCGGUGUAGCGGUGAAAUGCGUAGAGAUCGGGAGGAAUACCAGUGGCGAAGGCGGCCUUCUGGACUGACACUGACACUGAGGUGCGAAAGCGUGGGUAGCAAACAGGAU